AUUGAUUUCCAUAAACAAUGUAAUUGUGCAUAUUUAUUUUUGGAUAACCGUCUACAUAAAUGUUUCGUGCUUUUCCUUCCCAGGCCUGCUUAUGCAGAUUCGGAUUCAGAAGAAACAGUUGACAGUGACCCACAUGAAAGUCAGUUGGCUGGUGAUGGGAUUGGGGAUGACGGUGGCAUGCGUUAGCUAAAGUUUGGUCUAUGUGUUAUCCAAUAAGAUAGGAAGGCGUGCGAGAGUUUAUGCGUUUUUCCUUUUUCUGUUUCAUGUUUUUUUUUCUUGGAAGACAUCUUUUUUCACUUCUUUUUGGCCGGCAAGUUUUGCCAAGAAAACAACUUAUGGUCCAUGGUUUAAUAAAGUUUAAGCACGACCCUUUGUAGGCGUAUUGUCUUA